rnacentral:rRNA from 1 species
CCUACGGGCGGCAGCAGUGGGGAAUAUUGCACAAUGGGGGAAACCCUGAUGCAGCGACGCCGCGUGAGUGAAGAAGUAUUUCGGUAUGUAAAGCUCUAUCAGCAGGGAAGAAAUAGCGACCUUUGGGUCGCCAGACGGUACCUGAUUAAGAAGCCCCGGCUAACUACGUGCCAGCAGCCGCGGUAAUACGUAGGGGGCAAGCGUUAUCCGGAAUUACGGGGUGUAAAGGGAGCGUAGACGGCAAUGCAAGUCCGGAGUGGAAUGCGGCAGCUCAACUGCCGAACUGCUGUGGAAACUGUAUGGCUUGAGUGCAGGAGGGGUAAGCAGAAUUCCUGGUGUAGCGGUGAAAUGCGUAGAUAUCAGGAGGAACACCGGUGGCGAAGGCGGCUUACUGGACUGUAACUGACGUUGAGGCUCGAAAGCGUGGGGAGCAAACAGGAUUAGAUACCCGAGUAGUC